AUUGAGCGCUUCCGUUAGAUUUUGCAGUAUCUUCUGAAACAUAGAGGGAUUUUUCAUACAUUAUACACGUCGACAUCAUAAAGCUUAAACGCAUAUUGCACAUCAUCGUCACUACGGCUGUAGUAAUGCACGCGCACAAGGAGUGCGAGUGUGUGUGUUUUUUUCCUUCUACUGGACUGUAAUGUGGAGUAAUGGUGUCUAUAGGAGGAAGAUCAGGCAGCUUUUUCUUUUUCUCCACCUGAAAGCUCACAUACUGCUCAUGCAGUGACUGAUGGGACUCACUGAGUGAGAUUUACUCUGUUCUGAUGGAAAGCCUGGUGAACAUCAUGUGUGUGUUUUUUAGAACAACCAGAAAGCGUCUACGAUCGGGAAAAAAAGGGCGUUACCGACGGGUUCAGCACCACGGACAGUUCCCUGACACUCCGGGCACACGCGCACAUACAGACACUCCAUCAGUCACACGCGCUGAGACAGGAUUAACUGAAGAUUUACAGCACACAUCUGCUGCUGCUUCUUUCCCUCUCUUCCUCUCUGUCUCUCUCACCUGUCCUUCACGGGUCUUUUUGCGGUCUGGGCUUGCUGUUCCAUAAGUCACUAGUCAGGAAGCCCUUACCCCAAAAAGUAUCUGUGGGGGGUCCUGACAGCCGAUUUUGAGCCUACUUUUUCACAGGACUAAGGGUUUGCUCUUUCUGACACUUGUUUUUGUCUCUACUCUGGACAUUUAAAUACAUAAUAUAAACAUAAUGUAAUAAACCAUAAUGUUAUGGCAUCUAUAGGAGGAUAAAGGACAAAGUUAACUUCUUAAGAUGAUUUCCUAACUUCAAAAAUAGCCUGUUUGUUACUAACAGUUGAAUACUGCUCAUUUAAAACAGUUAAUUUAAGAUUUAAGUUUGUUUGUUUGUCAUAUGAGACACUUGUAUGUAUACUUAUGUGAAUGUACAUCUCAAACAUCAAAACUAACUUGCCUCUGAGCAAGCCUCUGUAUGUCAUGACAAAAUCAGCCACACGGUGGUGCUGUUGUCCUUGAUCUGUAGUAAUCAAAACCUUAUCUUAUUUUGAAUAAUAGACUACAUGUGUCAUGCAGCUUUUUGAAACACAGUACUAUAGUACUUCUGUGUAUAUGUCUGUGUAAGUGAAUUAAAAAAAAAAUCUGUUUCA